AAAGGGAACGAAAGACUAGCAAAGGAGUGGAUUAUAAGAAUGAGGCCAAGACUUGCAGUUUUGAAUGAAUGCAUUUACAUAUUCAAUGGAUCGCUGCUGGAGAUUGAAGAGUUCAAAAUUCUUAACUAUGUGCUGAACAAUGAGGGAAAGAAGAUGCAUCCGGUUCACACUCAAGAGAAGUUCACACUCAAGAGAAGCAAUAAAAUACAUGGAGUGGAAGGACUGUGCAUAAUUUAGAGAGAGUGUUUUAAACAUGGAGCCAAAAUUACUUUGAACCAACAUGAAGAACCGUUUCAGUAAAGUUUGGGUUUUGGAUUUCUCAUCCAUCACUGUCGACGUCAUCCACUAGUUUAAGAAAAUAACGUGCGCCAGUAAAACUGUAGACAUGGAAUAUGUUCUCCAAAUAUCAAAGUGGACAAUUUCAAAACAGGUAUAAGACCAUUGACCGACCCAUUACUCGAGUGAGUAUAGUAUGUAUUCUGGGUUUUUUUUAUCAUUUACAUGAGUAUAAAAUCCAGAUACUCGAGUAUAUUCUGUUCUAUGCAAUAUACUCGAGGAAAUGUUCAAAAAAUUUUCUACGGCAAUUUUUCAACGUGUAGCUCUUUUAAAGUUAUGUGAAAUAAAAAAACACUUUAUUCGAAUGCCCGAGUCAAAAGUAAUGAUCUUUCGAAGUUUUAUUGUAAAAUUUCUAAAAUUUUAUAAUAUCAAUAGGUUUUGUGAUACCCAUAAAGCUCUCUUCUGGUUACUCGAGUCAAGUCCACAAUAUUAUGAGUAUAUGACUAUAGAUACUUGUUCGAUCAAAAAAAUAUUGUGGAAAAAAAUUUAACCGUAAAACUUUGGAACACUAUAUUUUUUGGACCAAACAAGUUUCUAUUGUCAUAUACUUAUAAUAUUGUACUUGACACGAACAACCUGAGUAAGCUUUAUGAAUAUCACAAAAAUCUAUUUCCAUUAUAAAAUUUUGGAAAUUUUACAGUAAAACUUCAUAAGGGAUUUGGUCCAAUUUUUUUUUUUCCAAAAAAUGUUUUUUUGUGUCCCGUUUGAUAUAUUUUAUCUUUGCGAAUGAUAUUAUUUGAAUUUUUAUUUUCCAACAAUAACAAUAAUCCUCCGAGAAUUUGUCAACGCAUAGCUCUCAAAAAGUUAUGUGGAAUAAAAAAAAUACCUAAUUCAGAUAUCUAAGUUAAAAGUUAUGGCCUAAUCUGGUCACCUGAUUCACAAGUUUUUACGGUUAAAUUUUUUUCACAAGACUUUUUGGAUUAAACAAGUUUCUAUAGUCAUAUACUCAUAAUAUUAUGAACUUGACUCGGGUAACCUGAUAGGGAGCUUUGUGGGUAUCACAAAACCUAUUAGCAUUACAAAAUUUUGAAAAUUUUAAAGUAAAACUUCAAAAGGCUAUAACUUUUGACUCAAGGGUCCGAAUCAAGUGAUUUUUUUUAUUCCACUUAAUUUUUCGAGAGCUACGUGUUGAAAAAUUCCUGGAGGAAAGUUUUAGUAAAUGACCCAUAUACUCGAGUAUAUUGCGUGCAACAAUAAAUAUUUGAGUAUCUGGGUCCUAUACUCUAGUAAAUGUUAAAAAAAAUCUCAUAAUACGAAAUGUACUCGAGUAUAAUGUCAUGUACUUAAAAAUAUAUGGGUCGCUCAACAAUCGAAGAGGGACAAAUCUGUGAAAUAUUUUGGAACAAGGAUAAAGUAGUACUUAUUUUGGUCAAAAGGACACAAUAGUCAAAAAGCGAGGAACCUUUAAAAUGCAAUCUCCAGUUUGUGUUAUCUUAAAGACGGAGGAUAUUCUUACUACCAAAAUUUUCUACUACUAACUUACUACAUAUCUAAUCACCAUUGAAUCAAAGAGAGAGAAUGCUAAAAAGUUUUUGAAAAAAGAGAAAAUAUUGAUCCAAUGGUAAUUAGAUAGGUAGUGAGUUAGUAGUAAAAAAAUUUAGUAGUAAGAAUAUCCCUCCCCUAUCUUAAAAGCAAACAGAGACCUACAUGCAAGCAACAUAUAAAGAAGUAAUGACAUAAAAGUUUAUGGGAAAAGUGUGUGUCAUUUUAAAGGAUGUAAAGUUGUGUCAUUUUAAGAGAGAGAAAGAGAUAGAUAAACGAAGAGAGAGUUGACAAAAAAAAUAAAGGCGUGGGUCCUACCUCUUUGUGAGAGUGAAAGAAUAUAAGUUGUGUCAUUUAAAAGGAUAAACAUUUUUCCCAAAAUAAAAAAAAUAUAUAAGACAAACAGAAAAAAUGCUUCAAUGUUCCAUUUUGUGUUAUGAAGAAUCUAACCCUCAAACAACUGAUCCUAAAUUAACUGUUAAUAUUUUGUCAAUUAAUACCAAGUCUUUUAUCAAAGAAAAACAAGGUCAUUUGCAGCAACAAUAUUCUUACAAAAUCCCAAUUGAAAGCAAUGAUGAAAUCCUAGAACCAGCUUUCUGCUCCAACCACGGCAAAAAAUUGUCACAAUUGUCGACCAAGUGGCCAUAAACCUAGUACUAAGUCGCGUUUGGGUGAGAAGGAAAUGAUUAAGAAUAAGGGAAGAAAGUAAAUUAAAAAUAUGGUAUUUGAGAGAGAAUUUUUAGAGGGGAGAAAUAGGUAAAGAGUUUUCGAACCUGGUAUCGGGCUAAAGAAUAGAACUUGAGG